AACGGCUAUACCAUGCUGAAAACAUCGGUUCUCGUCCGAUCACCGAAGUUAAGUAUCAUUGGGCGUGGUCAGAGAGUACUUGA